rnacentral:rRNA from 1 species
GUGGAUUAGAUACCCUGGUAGUCCACGCUGUAAACGAUGAUCACUCGUUGUUGGCGAUACACAGUCAGCGACUGAGCGAAAGCAUUAAGUGAUCCACCUGGGGAGUACGUUCGCAAGAAUGAAACUCAAAGGAAUUGACGGGGGCCCGCACAAGCGGAGGAACAUGUGGUUUAAUUCGAUGAUACGCGAGGAACCUUACCUAGGCUUAAAUGUAGAUUGCAUGACUUGGAAACAGGUCUUUCCUUCGGGACUAUUUACAAGGUGCUGCACGGUUGUCGCCAGCU